rnacentral:rRNA from 1 species
UACGUAGGGUGCGAGCGUUGUCCGGAAUUAUUGGGCGUAAAGAGCUCGUAGGCGGUUUGUCGCGUCUGCUGUGAAAACGCGAGGCUCAACCUCGCGCCUGCAGUGGGUACGGGCAGACUAGAGUGUGGUAGGGGAGAUUGGAAUUCCUGGUGUAGCGGUGGAAUGCGCAGAUAUCAGGAGGAACACCGAUGGCGAAGGCAGAUCUCUGGGCCAUUACUGACGCUGAGGAGCGAAAGCGUGGGGAGCGAACAGG